CGAGUCAUAUGUAGCAAUACAUGGCGUACUGCUCAGUAACACGUGGAUAACCUGCCCUUGGGUCCGGCAUAACCCCGGGAAACUGGGGAUAAUUCCGGAUAACGCACAUACGCUGGAAUGCUUUAUGCGUAAAAUGGAUUCGUCUGCCCAAGGAUUGGUCUGCGGCGUAUCAGGUUGUAGUGGGUGUAACGGACCCCCUAGCCUAUGACGCGUAAGGGCCUUGAGAGAGAGAGCCCUGAGAUGGACUCUGAGACAUGAGUCCAGGCCCUACGGGGCGCAGCAGUCGCGAAAACUUCACAAUGGGGGAAACCCCGAUGAGGGAAUUCCAAGUGCCAGCACAUUGUGUUGGCUGUUCUCUGGUCUAAAAAACCGGAGAAGUAAGGGCCGGGUAAGACGGGUGCCAGCCGCCGCGGUAAUACCCGCGGCCCAAGUGGUGGUCGAUAUUAUUGAGCCUAAAACGUCCGUAGCCGGUUUUGUAAAUCCUUGGGUAAAUCGACCAGCUUAACUGUUCGAAGUCCGGGGAGACUGCAAGACUUG
rnacentral:rRNA from 1 species